CCUACGGGGUGCAGCAGUGAGGAAUAUUUGUCAAUGGGCGCAAGCCUGAACCAGCCAAGUCGCGUGAGGGAAGACGGUCCUAUGGAUUGUAAACCUCUUUUGUCUGGGAGCAAAGCGCGUUAUGAGUGCCGUUAAGGCUAGUACCCUAAGAAAAGGCAUCGGCUAACUCCGUGCCAGCAGCCGCGUUAAUACGGGGGAUGCGCUCGUUAUCCGGUUUUAUUGGGUUUAAAGGGUGCGUCGGCGGAUUUGUACGUCCGCGGUAAAAAUUCGGUGAUCAACGCCGUAUCGCCGUUGAAACUGCAGGUCUUGAGUGAGUGAGAAGUAUGCGGAAUGCGUGGUGUAGCGGUGAAAUGCAUAGAUAUCACGCAGAACGCCGAUUGCGAAGGCAGCAUACCGGCGCUCAACUGACGCUGAGGCACGAAAGCGUGGGGAUCGAACAGGAUUAGAUACCCUAGUAGUC
rnacentral:rRNA from 1 species